AUGGUGACUGAAGGUUCACGCACUCCGUCGCCGGGUCUCCGCCGUGUCUCGGCCUCGCCGGUGGUGCGCCGAGGCCGGAGCCCGACGCGGCGUGGCUGCCGCGAGGUGGUGGGGCAGCAGGAGGUCGUCCACCAGGCCAGCAGCACCGUCGUCUACCCGCUGCUGACGGCAACGAACUACUUCGAGUGGUCGCUGAUAAUGAAGGUGAACAUGGAGGCCCAACGCGUGUGGGACGCCAUCAAGGGAUGCGGGAGCUUCAGCCAGGACAGGGCGGCGCUGGCGGCAAUUCUGCGAGCCGUGCUAGAGGAGAUGCACUCCACGCUUGCCGUGAAGGCGAUGACAAAGGAGGCAUGGGAUGCCAUCAAGAUCAUGCGGGUCGGCGAUGCCCGCGUCCGUGAGGCCAAGGCGCAGACUCUCCUCAAGGAGAUUGAUGUCGUCCGCAUAAGGAGCGGCGAGACCCUCGAUGAGCUCGCCAUGCGCAUGAACGGGAUCGCCAACAAGCUGCGCACGCUCGGCGAGAACCUCGACGAGGUGAAGGUUGUGAAGAAGCUUCUUCGCAUCAUGCCGUCCAAGUAUACCCUGGUAGCUAUUGCCAUUGAACAACUUCUUGAUCUUAAAACCAUGUCCAUGGAAGAGCUUGUGGGAAGGCUCAAAACGGCGGAGGACCGGAGCGACUUGGACGAGAGCGCCAACAACUACGACCAAGGUGGUGGGAGUCGCCUGCUCCUCACGGAGGAGGAGUGGCUUGCUCGCAACCGCAUCGGCGCCGGCAAGAAGAAGCGCAACUUCGACAUACGCAAGGUGCGUUGCUACAACUGUCAAGAGUAUGGACAUUACUCCAAGGACUGCACCGAGCCAAGGAAACAGCGGGCGCUUCUUGCUGCCGCGACGGCCGACGACGAGCCGGGGCUGCUGUGA
rnacentral:rRNA from 1 species